rnacentral:rRNA from 1 species
GACGAACGCUGGCGGCGUGCUUAACACAUGCAAGUCGAACGGAAAGGCCCCUUUGGGGGUACUCGAGUGGCGAACGGGUGAGUAACACGUGAGUAACCUGCCCUUGACUUCGGGAUAACUUCAGGAAACUGGGGCUAAUACCGGAUAGGCAUCCUUGCUGCAUGGUGGGGGUUGGAAAUCUUCGGCUGUUUUGGAUGGACUCGCGGCUUAUCCGCUUGUUGGUGGGGUAGUGGCUUACCAAGGCUUUGACGGGUAGCCGGCCUGAGAGGGCGACCGGCCACAUUGGGACUGAGAUACGGCCCAGAAUCCUACGGGAGGCAGCAGUGGGGAAUAUUGCACAAUGGGCGGAAGCCUGAUGCAGCAACGCCGCGUGCGGGAUGACGGCCUUCGGGUUGUAAACCGCUUUCAGCAGGGGCGAAGCUUGUGGUGACGGUACCUGCAGAAGAAGCACCGGCUAACUACGUG